rnacentral:rRNA from 1 species
UACGUAGGGUGCAAGCGUUAAUCGGAAUUACUGGGCGUAAAGCGUGCGCAGGCGGCUAUGCAAGACAGAUGUGAAAUCCCCGGGCUCAACCUGGGAACUGCAUUUGUGACUGCAUGGCUAGAGUACGGUAGAGGGGGAUGGAAUUCCGCGUGUAGCAGGUGAAAUGCGUAGAUAUGCGGAGGAACACCGAUGGCGAAGGCAAUCCCCUGGACCUGUACUGACGCUCAUGCACGAAAGCGUGGGGAGCAACAGG